rnacentral:rRNA from 1 species
CCGGAGCGUCUACUCCAGCUCUAGAGCGUAUAUGAGGUUGUUGCCGUUAAAAAGCUCGUAGGUAAGCUUCUGUUAAUUUUUAUAUAUGAUAUCAGGAUUUUAAUUUAAUAUAAACAUAAUUCAUAUUACUUUUUAGUAUAUGAAACUUUACUUUGAGAAAAUUAGAGUGCUUAAAGCAGGCAUAUUGCCUUUGCAUACUCCAGCCUGGAAAAAUAUUAAGGAUUUUUAUUUUUCUAUUUGGUAUUAGAAUAAAAAAUAUGAUUAAUAGGGACACCUGGGGUGUUUUUAACAGUCAGAGGUGAAAUUCUUAGAUUUGUUAAAGACAAACUACUGCGAAAGCAUUUGCCAAGGAUGUUUUCAUUAAUCAAGAACGAAAGUUAGGGGAUCGAAGACGAUCAGAUACCGUCGUAG